UCGAGGAUCUUCGGCAAUGGGCGCAAGCCUGACCGAGCGACGCCGCGUGUGCGAUGAAGGCCUUCGGGUUGUAAAGCACUGUCGAGGGGGAGGAAAGCCGCAAGGCCUGACCUAUCCCUGGAGGAAGCACGGGCUAAGUUCGUGCCAGCAGCCGCGGUAAGACGAACCGUGCGAACGUUGUUCGGAAUCACUGGGCUUAAAGGGCGCGUAGGCGGUCGAUCAAGUCUGGGGUGAAAUCUUUCGGCUUAACCGGAAAAGUGCCUUGGAUACUGGUCGGCUGGAGGGAGGUAGGGGCAGCUGGAACUUCCAGUGGAGCGGUGAAAUGCGUUGAUAUUGGAAGGAACGCCGGAGGCGAAAGCGGGCUGCUGGACCUUUUCUGACGCUGAGGCGCGAAAGCUAGGGUAGCAAACGGGAUUAGAUACCCCUGUAGUCC
rnacentral:rRNA from 1 species